rnacentral:lncRNA from 1 species
UUUUUAAGGAUAAGCUAAAAUCUGUUCAGUUUAAGAUUAUAGAAUGACAGGCCUUAAGUGUUUAAUAUUAGACAGUUAUGUAUAAUUAAACAUCUUAGCAUCUAUGUGUAACAUUAACAACAGAUCAAGACUCAGGACUCUUCUCCUACCUGCAGCGAAGGAUGGCUGAUAAGUAGCAGAUGACGUUGGACUCGAACAUUCAUUUGUUGCAUCGGUGACUAAGGGUCUUUCAAGGUGGGAGUGAUUUCCUGGAGCAUUUCAACGUGUUCUUGACUUCGAACCUGACCCAUAGCCUGGACUAAUGUAAAUAGAACUGUUUGAAUGUUGUCUUGCCAUGAUUUAUAUUCACCCAAAAACUGCCUAACACUGUUCUCAUAGGGA